rnacentral:tRNA from 1 species
AGGCGCGUAGCUCAGUUGGUUAGAGCACUACCUUGACAUGGUGGGGGUCGUUGGUUCGAGUCCAAUCGCGCCUA